AUCUCGGUAGUUUAGUGGAAAAAAGCCCUUGUCUGUCGUAUAAAGGUCGUGAGUUCAAAUCUCCCCUGAGCUG
rnacentral:tRNA from 1 species